GGGGAUGACUUGGUUUCGACGUGGUUGGGAAAUCUCUAGUUGCAGGUCGUAUGCCAAAACGUAAAUUAGCAAUUAAAUAUAAACGCAAACAACAAUAGCGAAGCAAACUUCGCACUAGCUGCCUAAUUAAGGCCGGCAAUGAAUGUUAAGCUUGUCGCAAGCCUAACAUUCGUUUCAUAAUUUAAGCGACAACUAUUGUAUGUAAGCUUUGCCAUACAAUCAGUACUAUGAAGCUAGCGUAAAAAUUUUUGGUUGUAUUUUGAUUUUUUAUGCGAAAAUAUAAAUAUAACUAAACUUGUAGAUGCUAUUGAAUUAUCUUCCACGGACAAGGGUUCGA
rnacentral:tmRNA from 1 species